GUCGAGAAUAAUUCACAAUGGACGAAAGUCUGAUGGUGCAACGCCGCGUGGAGGAUGAAGGUCUUCGGAUUGUAAACUCCUGUCAUCGGGGAGUAAGACCUGGCGGUAAAUAGCCGACAGGGUUGAUAGUACCCGAAGAGGAAGGGACGGCUAACUUCGUGCCAGCAGCCGCGGUAAUACGAAGGUCCCAAGCGUUGUUCGGAAUCACUGGGCGUAAAGGGAGCGUAGGCGGCGUGGUAAGUCAGAUGUGAAAUCCCGGGGCUCAACCCCGGAACUGCAUCCGAUACUGUCAUGCUUGAGGGUUGGAGAGGUAGCUGGAAUUCUCGGUGUAGCAGUGAAAUGCGUGGAUAUCGAGAGGAACACUCGUGGCGAAGGCGAGCUACUGGACAACAUCUGACGCUGAGGCUCGAAGGCCAGGGGAGCAAAAGGGAUUAGAUACCCGAGUAGUCC
rnacentral:rRNA from 1 species